ensembl:lncRNA
CGGCUCGGUGCGGGCGGCGCGCCUCGGCGGGGAGCGGAGCGGGGCGGCAGGCAGAUCCGUCUUGAGUUCAUCUCCAGGCUGGUCUUCUGCGUGUGAGAGAUGUUGUCCCUUCAGUGUGUUUUGGAAUCUGAGGUGAGGGAAGGAGCCCUGAUCUUCUGGCAGCUGCCAGGGGAAAAGUAAGUAUUACAGAACUUGCUUUCUGAGAGAGCAAUGCAGUUUCUUUGUGAUGAAGACUCACUGUGUGCAUGAGUCAAUUCCCUUCGUUUUUUGUGGGAUGUAAAGGUCACUUUGUCUGCAUCUGAACUAUGACAAAAUCAAUAGUCUAAUCAAUUUCUAAAGUAGAUUUAGUCUAAAUGACUUCUGUUGUGUGCUGUGAGCUUUGAUGUGUGAACGUGUCCCAAAAAGCCACCAGAACAGUCAAUGCAGAGCAUCGCAGCAAAUAACCUCGCAGAGUUUGCAGGGGAGUUUUCAGUCCCAUUCACUGUGUCCACAGGGCUUUUUUUUCCCUGCCCGGUCCCAGCACGGCUUCCUCCUGCUGUUCCCACUGAAAGAAUGGAUCCCUGAGAGCAACAAAAGCAGUCACGCAGUUCACUUGAGCAGUCAUGCAUAAAGAUGGGCAGACUUUCUGCUGUGAAAACCAAAGGGCAGCCCCCCCCCCGCCACCAGUUUUCCAUAGGUUCUCAGGAAGAUGCUGAGGAUCUCAUACAGG